AAUCUAGGGAAGUGCAUUGGCACUCCGAGACCGAAUCCCGCAACACGUAGUAGUAAUCGUAACGACGAGAAAAAUCAGUAGAUAUAUGCAUGAACACCCGCCACGAAUGCGCCUGCCAGGUCGAUAUCGACGCUGACACCCGCAAGCGCGGCCAGCAAUCAUCCUAAGAUACCCUGAUUUCCUCGCACUAUACGAUGUCUACUACGCGCUGCGGGUAUUGACUCUCCCAGUAUCGCAGCCACUCAUUAAGUACUCCGCGCGGGUUGUCAUGUCGCAAGACUGACACUCAACGGAAUUGACGGGGGCCCGCACAAGCGGUGGAGCAUGUGGUUUAAUUUGACGCAACGGCGCAGAACCUUACCUGGGUUUGACAUCUGCGGAACCUUGUGGAACCAGGAGGGUGCAUUUGGGACACGAGACACAGGUUCUGCAUGGCUGUCGUCAGCUCGUGUCGUGGGAUGUUGGGUUAAGUCCCGCAACGAGCGCAACCUUUAUCUUUAGUUGCCAUCAUUCAGUUGGGCACUCUAGAGAGACUGCCGGUGUUAAACCGGAGGAAGGUGGGGAUGAAUUCAAGUCCUCAUGGCCCUUAUGUUCAGGGUUACACACGUGCUACAAUGGCCGGUACAAAGAGUUGCGAUGCCGCGAGGUGGAGCCAAUCUCAAAAAACCGGUCUCAGUUUGGAUUGGAGUAUCCAACUCCAUUCCAGGAAGUUGGAAUAGCUAGUAAUCGUGGAUCAGCAUAUCGCAGAGAAUAGGUUCCCGGGCCUUGUACACACUCCCCGUCACACCACGGGAGCGAUUGGUCCCGAAGUGCGUGAGCUAACCCGCAAGGGUGGCAGCGCCCUAAGGAAUGGUCGGUGACAGGGGCGAAGUCGUACAAGGUAACCAAGGGACAAGCACGGCCACUAAAUCAAUGCGCCCUAUGGAG
rnacentral:rRNA from 1 species